UACGUAGGGUGCAAGCGUUAAUCGGAAUACUGGGCGUAAAGCGUGCGCAGGCGGCUAUGCAAGACAGAUGUGAAAUCCCCGGGCUCAACCUGGGAACUGCAUUUGUGACUGCAUGGCUAGAGUACGGUAGAGGGGGAUGGAAUUCCGCGUGUAGCAGUGAAAUGCGUAGAUAUGCGGAGGAACACCGAUGGCGAAGGCAAUCCCCUGGACCUGUACUGACGCUCAUGCACGAAA
rnacentral:rRNA from 1 species